rnacentral:lncRNA from 10 species
AGAACAUAUUUGUCCAGUGCGGCACCUUGGGGUGGGGGCCCGAAAGGGCUAGCAGUGGAGCAUUGCAAGAGAGACCCCCUCACCCACCUGGGGGAACACAAGAAAAUAAUCAUCAUAAUUACACGCUCUGCUGUCAUCCUGACCUGCAAACCCUCCUAGGGGCAAAGAAGUUUGUUUUGUUUAUUUGUUUCCUGGAUGCAAAGAAUCUGUUGAUUUCUCCAAGCCUGGCGCUGGCUGAAAUUGUCCCAGCCAACACUGAAGCUGCCUAGAAGGUGGCUGCAGUUUUGGGGUGGCACCGGAAAGGGCUCUUUUAAGGAGCCACCAGCACCUUCGCCUCAAAAUCAAGAACAAUACCAGGCCCCAUGCCAGCCACAGGAGUAAUUAGGCCAGAUGGUUUCAAGGCAGAAAUUCCAGUAGUCCCUGAAAUGCUAUAAAUCGAGCCACAGACAGGAGGUGUGGUGACUUGACAGCAAUUUCUCCCCAAGGCAAGGCCUCCGCGGCAUCACAGCCAGCCUUCCCUCCAUUCCACUGCAGAAAUAAAUGAAGUUAUGGAUGUUGGUGUUUCUUUGCGGUGAAUCAAAUGGAUUCCCUGUGAAUGCUGUUUGAUAUUCUUCUUGAUCAUGUCAACUAGACAGAAUGUGUCUUUCUAGCAUUUGUUUUUCAAAAAAAGAUGUGUGAAAUAGGAAUUUUCACAUAAUUCCUGAACAGGUUUUGGUGGCAGUGGUGUUUGUUUUCCAAAAGCCGGGACAGGAACUGCAGAGCCUUCUAGUGCUUUCCUUCAUCUUCUCCCCAGUGCAGCCGGAACUCGCCCCUGGGGUGGCCCACUCUCCCCCACUGAGAGCAGCAGAGACAGCCAGCUGCACAGGCUCGGGAUGUGGGCUGGGAGAAUGCUCCCCCGUGAACUCACAAGCACAUGUUAGGUGCUGUGGAUACAAGAAGCCCAGUCAUAUGGAGAGUAUGUGGUUGGGCGGCCAGGCUUUGGAGCCAGUGGCCUGACUUGUUGUCCCAGCUCUGCCACUCCCUGGCUUUGUGACCUGAGGCAAGGUUGGUAUUUCUCUCUGCUUCCAUAACAUGGGAUAACAGUGGCACCCACUUCAUAGGGCAGUGAGGGAUUGAUGUAUAAAUACAGGUAGUCUGCAGAAGCUCACCUGGCAGACAGUGGGCACCCAGCAGACGCUAGUAAUUUAACUCUGCUGAUAAGGCCCCUUGUUAAGCAGAUGACAGGCAAAGUGAAUCAUGUAUACACCUGAGGACAGGAACACCAUUUUGCAAGUGAGGAAUAAGGCUUAAGAAAAAAAGAACCAGGCUGGGCGUGGUGGCUCACACCUGCAAUCCCAACAGUUUGGGAGGCUGAAGUGGGAGGAUCGCUUGAGCCCAGGAGUUGGAGACCAGCCUGGGCAACACAGUGAGACCCCAUGUCGAUAAAAAAUAUAAAAAUUAGCUGGGCAUGGUGGUGCGUGCCUGUAGUCCCAGCUACUCCCAAGGCUGAGGCAGGAGGCUCUCCUAAGCUCAGGAGGUCCAGGCUGCAGUGAGCUGGGAUUGCACUACUGCAUGCCAGCCUGGGUGACGAUCAAGACUCUGCCCCCAUCCCCCAAAAAAAGAAAAGAAAAGAAGAAACGAACCAUAGCAACAUUAUGCCUAGAAGCCAAACGGUGGAAGCAACCGAAGUGUCCAUUGACGGAUGAAUGUGUAAACAAAAUGUGCUCUAUCCUACAAUGGAAUAUGAUGCAGCUUUGAAAAGGAAAGAAAGUCUGACACAUGUUCCAACAUGGAUGAUCUCUGAUGACCUUAUAUCAAGUGAAACAAGCCAGUCACAAAAGGACAAAGACUGCAUGAUUCCGCUUAUAUGAAGUCCUUAAAAGAGUCAAAUUCAUAGAAACAGAAAGUAGAAUGGUGGUUGCCAAGGACGGCGGAGGGAGGGGAAUGGGGGGUGAAUGUUUAACAGGAAUAGAGUUUCAGUUUUGCAAGAUGAAGGUCCUGGAGAUGGACGGUGGUGAUGGUUGCACAACGAUGUUAAUGUCCUUGACACUGAACUGUACACUUAGAAAUGGUUGAGAUGGUAAAUUUUAUGUUAUGUGUAUUUCACAAUUAACAGUUUAAAAGAAAUGAACCAACUUGGCUG